UACGUAGGGGGCGAGCGUUGUCCGGAUUUAUUGGGCGUAAAGAGCGUGUAGGCGGUCCGGUAAGUCCGCUGUGAAAGUCGGGGGCUCAACCCUCGAAUGCCGGUGGAUACUGUCGGGCUAGAGUGCGGAAGAGGCGAGUGGAAUUCCUGGUGUAGCGGUGAAAUGCGCAGAUAUCAGGAGGAACACCUAUUGCGAAGGCAGCUCGCUGGGACGUAACUGACGCUGAGACGCGAAAGCGUGGGGAGCAAACAGG
rnacentral:rRNA from 1 species